UUGUCUUUGUGCGAGCUUCUGCAGGUCCCUUUCAGCAUUGAAGAUCCAGAUUACAAGGGGCUUGAGCUGGAUGUGAUGUCUCCAUGUGAGAAGCACGGCAUGGCAUCUGAGAGGCUUGUUGCCUUUGAAGGAACAGACACAGGCAGGAGGUUUUUAGCAUGUGCACAGCCGGAAGGUAGCAAUUGUGGCUUUGAUGAAUGGGUUGAUCACCAGUGGCCCCCAACAAUGCAGAAUGCAUUGUUGAAGCUAUGGGCAAUGGUUGAAGAUGCCAAAAGUGCUAGGGUGAAUGACAAUCUUGAAAGUUCUUUCACUAUCCACCAUCUGACAGAAGAGAAGAACAACCUGGAGGCCAACUAUGACAAGCUAGUCCAAGAUGUGCAUCAGCUUAUGAGCUUCCAGGAGGAUAGGGUGGUGGAUUUCAGACAUCUGCAGUCUGCCAUUACAUAUCAACAUGAAUGCAGAAGUGAGCUGGUGGCUGAUAUGAAUGCACAGAUGGCAAAGAAAGAUGCAGAGUUUGAGAAGUUUAAGCAGAAUUAUGAUGUGCUACUGAACCUGACAAGAGCUCAAGCUACAGUCAUCCAGAACCUGAAGUUGAAGCAUAUUACUGAUAAGCAAUUGCUUACUGAAGCUAAGAUGAACUUGGAGUUGAAGAAUGCAGAGCUCACAAAGUCUGAGGAGAAGCUGAAGGAGAAGAUCAAGGGGAUCCAGGCCAUCUUAGAGAAGUGA
rnacentral:rRNA from 1 species